AGGACGGAUUUUGGAGACCAUUUUGAGCUUGCGGUUCUUCAUGUUUCAAUAUGGCAUCGUGUACAAGCUCAAUCUCACUGGGAAAAACACCUCACUUGCGAUCUAUGGCUACUCGUGGAUUGUGUUGGUUGCUAUCGUGCUCUUGUUUAAGUCGCGGACUCGAGAUCUCCAUUAUUCUCGCCGGAAACAGAGCGAAUGUUGAGACCUGAUGAAAGAAAGAGAGAGAGCUUAGUGUGGAAGUAGAAGAAAGUAAAGGAGUUUAGUAGACCAUUUUUACCGUGGGCAUGUAAAUGAGAGUUUGUUAGAACGUCAUUGAAAGCAAAGCUCAUCGACUUGGAUUUUUCAUCUCUUUGUAAUCUAAUUUAUGUUUUCUCUAAGGUUAUAUUUAGCUUGACUAUGCAUUGAUGAUAACUUGAUUUUGUCAAUCUGAGAUUUGUCUGUUGUCUGAAAAUCUUUGA